GUGUGGGUAGGUGCAGAACGCGAUGUUCAGACCGGCUCCCGUCACAGGGACGCCCCCGAGGCCGACAGCUAACUAGGAUAAUUGAAUGCUUAGACUGGAAAAUGCAUCAUGUCGUCACGCCCAGCGUGUUUUUUAAUUUUUAAGACAAGGAAGCAGGUGUGCAGAUCUGCUGUGGCUGAUAGAUGUUGAAUUGAAACAGCUGGAUGACAACUACAGCAGGAAUUUCACAAAGGCAACAUUUGCUCAUGUCCAGCAGGACAGAGAUUCAGAUACCCUCAAAUGAAAUUCUACCGUCCUGCAGCCAACUGGCCUCACAUCUGCUGUCAGCACUCAUCAGACCUGCGUUAACACCACACUGCGGCUCAGUUUAACCUCCAGCAUCCCAGCAGGCAAAGGACAUCCAAGCCACUGAGAGGGAUGCACACACAAAGACCAUGAAUGAACCAAACCUAAAACCAAAGUACUCGCUCUGGAAGACGAGCUGAUGCACCUGAAUACCUGAAUAAACUGAAUACAACUCAGCUGACCCUUCA
rnacentral:lncRNA from 1 species